AUCUCUUCUUUUUGUGCUAGACGUUACGUUACUUUACAUGCUGUCUGGGUGUAGAAGAGAACAAUGAACAACGAAAGCAUUCGUUAGGUCACCAGCUCAGUGGCGGAUGUACAGCAAGACACGAUUAUCUGUUCAGCUGUUUUGGGUCAGAACCUCGAGCGAUGGGACGUACCGUCUGAGGACGGCGUUAUGUUAGUGAUACGGAGGAAGCCCACCUGAGGAGAUGGAGAGCAGCAGAGAGGUUAUGAUUGGGUGUCAGCAGGUUUAUGAUGAUAUGAGAUUUAUGAGACACCAGAAUUAUGAGUCAGUCUGUUGUUUGCACUUGAUCAGAAAGAUCAUAGCGAUAAAUUAUGUUAAUGAAAUCUUAGCAGAUUGAUGAAAUCAUUGUAUGGAUUACAGUUGACUUAUUUAUGAAUCCCUAGUUGACUUUCAUUUAUGAAUCAUAGUUGAUUCCUUCAUUGAUGACAUCAUAGUUGAUAGCUGAUAUCAUUAACGAAAUCAGCCUUGAUGAACCAAUGAUGAAAUCAUAGUCAACUUAAUUCAAUGAAUUUAGAGCCAAACAAUAAUUUAUA